GAUGAACGCUGGCGGCGUGCCUAACACAUGCAAGUCGAACGAAGGUAUAUAUAGGAAGUCUUCGGAUGGAAUAUGUAUAACUUAGUGGCGGACGGGUGAGUAACGCGUAAGUAAUCAACCUGUGACACACGGAUAACUGAUAGAAAUGUCAGCUAAUACGAGAUGAACUGUUUAAAUUGGGAAAUGGAAACAGCAAAGCGAAAGCGGUCACAGACGAGCUUGCGUCUGAUUAGCUAGUUGGUGGGGUAAGAGCCUACCAAGGCGACGAUCAGUAGCCGGCCUGAGAGGGUGAACGGCCACAUUGGAACUGAGACACGGUCCAAACUCCUACGGGAGGCAGCAGUGGGGGAUAUUGCACAAUGGGGGGAACCCUGAUGCAGCAACGCCGCGUGAGUGAAGAAGGCCCUAGGGUCGUAAAGCUCUGUCGUAUGGGAAG
rnacentral:rRNA from 1 species